rnacentral:lncRNA from 1 species
UUGCAAACAGAUUAGCAUCCCUCAACUUCUCAAAAUCGAAAAAUCUACAUCAGGGAAAGAAAGCUUCACAUAAUAGCAAGGUUGAUUCUGACCAACAGUAUCUGUAACUUCUGCACUGAUAUUGUCCUGAUCACCUAUAUCUAGAGUUUUAGCUUCCUCUUGGAUGUCUACUUUGCCAAAUACAUCAGAUGGAACCGAUUG